AGUCGAGGGGCAGCAUGAACUUAGCUUGCUAAGUUUGAUGGCGACCGGCGCACGGGUGAGUAACACGUAUCCAACCUGCCGAUGACUCGGGGAUAGCCUUUCGAAAGAAAGAUUAAUACCCGAUGGCAUAGUUCUUCCGCAUGGUAGAACUAUUAAAGAAUUUCGGUCAUCGAUGGGGAUGCGUUCCAUUAGGUUGUUGGCGGGGUAACGGCCCACCAAGCCUUCGAUGGAUAGGGGUUCUGAGAGGAAGGUCCCCCACAUUGGAACUGAGACACGGUCCAAACUCCUACGGGAGGCAGCAGUGAGGAAUAUUGGUCAAUGGACGAGAGUCUGAACCAGCCAAGUAGCGUGAAGGAUGACUGCCCUAUGGGUUGUAAACUUCUUUUAUACGGGAAUAAAGUGAGGCACGUGUGCCUUUUUGUAUGUACCGUAUGAAUAAGGAUCGGCUAACUCCGUGCCAGCAGCCGCGGUAAUACGGAGGAUCCGAGCGUUAUCCGGAUUUAUUGGGUUUAAAGGGAGCGUAGGCGGACGCUUAAGUCAGUUGUGAAAGUUUGCGGCUCAACCGUAAAAUUGCAGUUGAUACUGGGUGUCUUGAGUACAGUA
rnacentral:rRNA from 1 species